UCAAAUUCAUGUCAUGGAAUCAAAUAUCUUGACAGGCUUUAGGCACAUUUGUCAUGUGUACAACAUUCAAAAGUUUACUUUGGCAUAAAAUGAGUAAUUCCGAUAUGGUUUGAACUUUGAAACCAAGCCACACCGAAUGAGAUGAGUCAUGUCCUCAAGAAGAUUUCCGUUAAAUUGAAGUACUCUUGCCGCAGGAUGAAGUUUAAUUCUAGCGAAGUUCAGAAAGAAAUAUAUCCGUUUAAAUGCUAAUUUUCGAAUUUGAAUCAUUUGAUUAUGUUUUAUGUAUGCUACAACAGGCAACAGCUUCAUUUUUUGUCACUCAAGCGACUGAAACGCCUGAGGUACCAUUCAUGAUCCAAUGGUCUUCUUCUACUUCAUCAAAAUUCGAUUCCAACCGGCAACUUAUAACCAACCGAUGUCCGACCCAUAUAGACAGCCCAAUC
rnacentral:lncRNA from 1 species